rnacentral:lncRNA from 1 species
CGAUGCAAGACGUAACGGCCAUACUACCAUGACGGCCAUAGGAUGAAACGGCCAUACCCCGAAAAGAUGAAACGGCCCUAGUACAAAAACGGCCAUACUUUGAAAAGACGUAUCGUCCAUGGUUUUUUUUUUUUUUUUUUUUAGAUGUUAUAGAUGAAUUAUUUUGAUACUUAUACAUGGUUAUUAUAACUUUUAAAUAAACUAUACUGUUUUUACAUUAUUUUUCAUCUUAAUUUUUGUUAUAUCAUUUGU